UGGGGAAUAUUGGACAAUGGGCGCAAGCCUGAUCCAGCCAUGCCGCGUGAGUGAUGAAGGCCCUAGGGUUGUAAAGCUCUUUCACCGGUGAAGAUAAUGACGGUAACCGGAGAAGAAGCCCCGGCUAACUUCGUGCCAGCAGCCGCGGUAAUACGAAGGGGGCUAGCGUUGUUCGGAUUUACUGGGCGUAAAGCGCACGUAGGCGGACUAUUAAGUCAGGGGUGAAAUCCCGGGGCUCAACCCCGGAACUGCCUUUGAUACUGGUAGUCUUGAGUUCGAGAGAGGUGAGUGGAAUUCCGAGUGUAGAGGUGAAAGUCGUAGAUAUUCGGAGGAACACCAGUGGCGAAGGCGGCUCACUGGCUCGAUACUGGCGCUGAGGUGCGAAAGCGUGGGGAGCAAACAGG
rnacentral:rRNA from 1 species